AUGUCAGAGCCGGGGAGGGGCGGGGGGCGGGGAGCGGCGAGAGAAGGGGGAGGGGAGGCAGGAGGGGAGAGAGACUGUGGGCUGGGGUUCUGGAAGACUCCUAGGAUUCGGACCGGACUAGGCUCGAGGACUUUCCUCCCCCAGAUUCUCAGCCAGACUGAAAGAGGGAAGGGAGAAUUGGAGAAGCAUCCGAUUUUCACCCCAUCUCCAGCAGAAGGAAUCUCAGCUCAACUCUCAAAGUGCCUGGUCCCGAAAAGUGAACAUCUUCAGUGUUUGCAUGCCACUAGAACACCCUAGCUUGCCUGAGUCCCAGCUUGGCAAAGGCCCUGCCAGAAGCCUCAGAUGAGUCCUUCCCUACUCGGGGCCACACUUCUGGGAAAAGCAGCUCACGUUGCUGUCACCUUAAUUUUCACAGUGCUUCUCUUUGUUCUUCUCCUUCAGCGUGGCUGGCCGUGGCCCCUUUGAAGAUAGCAUAUCCUUGGAAUUUGCUUUUGUUUCUAAUUUUGCAGGACCAACGUCUAUCUUGUUGACCCAUCUUUGAGACUCAGAGGAACUGCACAACAUGUAGUUAUUUAAAUGAAACAACCAGGCAGAGGGACCCAGAGAAUAUGGACUUCACGCUUACUGUGUCCUCAGACAUUAAGUCCAUAAAGUUCAGUGUCCUCUUCAGCCAGACAAGCAUGCUAGUGCCACUGGGAAUCAGAAAUAGUAAGUCUUUGGGGACUGGUACCAGAUGAGUGCUUAAAAAACAGGAAGUUGUUUAGUCUGGUAGCUGUCACUGACCUAUACUAAACAAACCCCAUAUUUUUUAUGAUGUAACCUAAUACCCAAUUACUUAUUAGUUAUCCAUUGUGUGUGAACAGUCGAUUGAAUAUUUGAUUUGUGUUCUGUAUGCUUCUGCCGUUUUCAUUAAGAGCACAGGAUUUGUCUGGGGAGAGUGAAAACUUUAAUCUCAGGGCUCCUUUUUCCAGACUUAGAAGUCUUUAUGUACAAGACCCUAUGGAAAUAAAAAGACAGCCUGGGUGCCUGCCCUCA
rnacentral:lncRNA from 1 species